UAAGACUGGGAUAACUCCGGGAAACCGGGGCUAAUACCGGAUGCUUGAUUGAACCGCAUGGUUCAAUCAUAAAAGGCGGCUUCGGCUGCCGUUUACAGAUGGACCCGCGGCGCAUUAGCUAGUUGGUGAGGUAACGGCUCACCAAGGCGACGAUGCGUAGCCGACCUGAGAGGGUGAUCGGCCACACUGGGACUGAGACACGGCCCAGACUCCUACGGGAGGCAGCAGUAGGGAAUCUUCCGCAAUGGACGAAAGUCUGACGGAGCAACGCCGCGUGAGUGAUGAAGGUUUUCGGAUCGUAAAGCUCUGUUGUUAGGGAAGAACAAGUACCGUUCGAAUAGGGCGGUACCUUGACGGUACCUAACCAGAAAGCCACGGCUAACUACGUGCCAGCAGCCGCGGUAAUACGUAGGUGGCAAGCGUUGUCCGGAAUUAUUGGGCGUAAAGCGCGCGCAGGCGGUUUCUUAAGUCUGAUGUGAAAGCCCCCGGCUCAACCGGGGAGGGUCAUUGGAAACUGGGGAACUUGAGUGCAGAAGAGGAGAGUGGAAUUCCACGUGUAGCGGUGAAAUGCGUAGAGAUGUGGAGGAACACCAGUGGCGAAGGCGACUCUCUGGUCUGUAACUGACGCUGAGGCGCGAAAGCGUGGGGAGCGAACAGGAUUAGAUACCCUGGUAGUCCACGCCGUAAACGAUGAGUGCUAAGUGUUAGAGGGUUUCCGCCCUUUAGUGCUGCAGCAAACGCAUUAAGCACUCCGCCUGGGGAGUACGGUCGCAAGACUGAAACUCAAAGGAAUUGACGGG
rnacentral:rRNA from 1 species